AUUGAACGCUGGCGGCAGGCCUAACACAUGCAAGUCGAGCGGAUGAAGGGAGCUUGCUCCUGGAUUCAGCGGCGGACGGGUGAGUAAUGCCUAGGAAUCUGCCUGGUAGUGGGGGAUAACGUCCGGAAACGGGCGCUAAUACCGCAUACGUCCUGAGGGAGAAAGUGGGGGAUCUUCGGACCUCACGCUAUCAGAUGAGCCUAGGUCGGAUUAGCUAGUUGGUGGGGUAAAGGCCUACCAAGGCGACGAUCCGUAACUGGUCUGAGAGGAUGAUCAGACACACUGGAACUGAGACACGGUCCAGACUCCUACGGGAGGCAGCAGUGGGGAAUAUUGGACAAUGGGCGAAAGCCUGAUCCAGCCAUGCCGCGUGUGUGAAGAAGGUCUUCGGAUUGUAAAGCACUUUAAGUUGGGAGGAAGGGCAGUAAGUUAAUACCUUGCUGUUUUGACGUUACCAACAGAAUAAGCACCGGCUAACUUCGUG
rnacentral:rRNA from 1 species